rnacentral:rRNA from 1 species
CCUACGGGUGGCAGCAGUCGAGAAUCAUUCACAAUGGGGGAAACCCUGAUGGUGCGACGCCGCGUGGGGGAAUGAAGGUCUUCGGAUUGUAAACCCCUGUCAUGUGGGAGCAAAUUAAAAAGAUAGUACCACAAGAGGAAGAGACGGCUAACUCUGUGCCAGCAGCCGCGGUAAUACAUAGGUCUCAAGCGUUGUUCGGAAUCACUGGGCGUAAGGCGUGCGUAGGCUGUUUCGUAAGUCGUGUGUGAAAGGCGCGGGCUCAACCCGCGGACGGCACAUGAUACUGCGAGACUAGAGUAAUGGAGUGGGAACCGGAAUUCUCGGUGUAGCAGUGAAAUGCGUAGAUAUCGAGAGGAACACUCGUGGCGAAGGCGGGUUCCUGGACAUUAACUGACGCUGAGGCACGAAGGCCAGGGGAGCGAAAGGGAUUAGAUACCCUUGUAGUC